GUUCGGUCAAAGGUGAAGAUGUCCCCCUCGCAUUUGGCACUCUUGGGGGUGUUGGGCUCUGAGCUGCAGCUAGAUCGUCUCCUCAUCUUGCGCUUGGGUGAGGUAGGGUCCUCUGGUGCUGAGUCCAAGUCUGGCCAAACAGAAGCAGGCUCAGUAGAGGUAGCCCCAGUCUGCUCCCCCACCCACCCAGGAGCCAGCACUCGCCUACCCGUGGAGUUCUUCCUCUUUUUGCGGUAAGAGCCCAGGAUGGCCCGAGGUGAGGUGGCCAGAGACUGCAGGGUGGGUGAUGGCAGCACUUCCUCUGGCCGAAACUCGGGCAGCUCAGCAAAGCGUUCUUCAAAGUCUACCUCCGACAGGACCCUGCUGGAGGGCCGGCAGGGUUUGCUCCUCUGCCUCAGCCUGCAGCUGCCGGCUCUCCCACCUGCCCCACACCCUUUGCCAAGGUCCCCAGCCCCUGCUCACUUGUCCACAGAGUCAAAGGUCUUCUUCAGGGGUGGGGGCCGCACCUUCACCUUCUUGCCAGUACUAGCAGCCUCCUUUCGCUCAGGUGUGUCCCCAGCCGCCCUCCCACUGCUGCCCUCGCUGCUGCUACUGCUACCACCCAGGGCUGCAGCUGGAGCUGGGGCCGGACUGGGAGGAGUGGGAGGCUCCCCACGGCUCUCCAGGCCCAUCCCAGGGACACGCCAGUCUGAGGAUGAGCUGGGGAAUUUGCUGGCCUGUGGUAAGGACAAGCAGGGAGAAAAGCUCUAGGCUGACCCACUGGGGCAACAGCCAGAAACUUGAAUUCUGGACAAUUCAAAACACAAACCCUUAGAGAAAACUCAGUCCCAUGGCUUCAGGAAGGCCAGAAGUGGAACACCAGGUGGAAGGCAUACAAUAGACAGACAGGAUACACAUGCAGGCAAGGAAGGAAGAGCAAGACAGAAAAGCAAGGACAGUGGGCAGCAGACAGCUGGGCACCAGGGGGAGCCCCAGGACCUCCAGACACUCACCAUGGUGUCAGGGCCCUUGGUACCAGUCCGUUCCUCAGCAGGCAGGGGCAGGGGGGGGACUGCUCCGGGCUGUGGGAGGCCAGGUCUCUGGGGGUGGUGGAGGGGCCGGUGAUGUAGGCUGCCCCUCAAGCUCAGACUCUGUGGCCGAUGGCUCUCGGGCUGGACCAGGCUCCAGAGGCUGCCGGCAAACAGGGCCAGGCCGCCCAGUGGCACUUGCCUCAAAGGAGCCUACAGGAAUGCUGGCAAUGGCUGCCUUCACUUUUUGGGGGGCCUUUGGGCUGGGACGCUGGGCCUUGGGGGCCACUAAGCUGUAGGUCAUGGAACCCGCUGUGGCAGUGACCAGUGGGCCCUUGGGCAGAAUGGUGGCAGCAGCAGGUGGGGUGGUACUAGUGGCCACAGUAUACACCAGGCUUGGGGGGGGCCUGGGAUGGCUGGGCCAGGGGUGCUGAGGAGGUGGGUGCCGGGCUUCCUGGGUAAAACGCUGUUAUGACCGGACCUCCUGAGGCUGUGCAGACAGGAGGCAGCUGGGGGCUGGGCACAGGUGACACGCCCACCUGGCCAGGAGCCAGCAGUGGGGCCUGGCCAGCUGAGAGACAGGAAAAAAAGAGGCAGGAGACUGAGUUAGGCCCUGGCCUGUCUCAGCCUCACUCUGAGCCCUCAAUGCUCCCUGCCAAGCUGCUCCUCACCUGAGAGCAGGGGCUGCACGAAUGCCGGUCCACUGGGCCCCAGUGAAGUGAAGCCUAGAGCUACAGAGCUUGUGGGCCCAUAGGAGGUAACUGUUCCAGCCUGGCUGGAUGCAGGGCUGGUGCCCAGAGGCAGUGUGUGCCCACCUGCCGACUGCACGUAGGUGAUUCUG
rnacentral:lncRNA from 1 species